GGAGGGUGUAGCUCAGUGGUAGAGCACGUGCUUGGCAUGCACGAGAUCCUGGGUUCAAUCCCCAGUACCUCCA
rnacentral:tRNA from 1 species